UUUGCUCGCUCAUCCGCCAUGUUUACAAACAAAUAGUCUUUUCAUAGGAAGAUCAAGUUUAUAUUGCAUGCUAAAGGUGUAACUCUAGCUAUCCCGUUUUCUCCCUCUCCAUGCACCUUGAAGCAGACCAAGUUGCACCGGAGUCUGUACUGUCAUCAUCUGCAGGACUCCGGUACCUGAUCGUAGCCCUGACCCUGAGACCUCUGACCCCACCUGCCAGGUCAUUCUCAUGCCACCUUAACCUGCUGAAACCAGAGAGCGCUGCAGGGGAGAGGAAGUGAGCCUGCAUCAAACGGUUAAAUCCAGACGCAUCCACAGAUCCUGGAAACGAGCCGUCCAACAACCAGUUGCUGGUGAGACAACAGGAGGCCCCCAGCCGUGACCAACACAUGGUGCGCCAACACACACGCCAGGACCCAUCUGUGAGUGAAAGUUCCUCGUGAUGAAGUGGUGAUUGGUCCAAUCCCCAUUUCUCAACCAAUGAUGUCUGGAGCUGAGCAUUAGCCCCGCCCACGACUCUCCACUCAUCAGCAGUGACCGUUAUAAAACGCAGACAUGAGCAUCCAGGAAAUCUCCCCCAGGAAAACAGGCAGGCAGUCAGACAACUGGACCCAACAAGGAGCCAGGAGGCCCCGAGCAACAGCUGGCAGGUGGGAAGAGAAGGAGGGAGAGAAGGAAGGAGAGAGGAAAAGAGGGGUGGCGUACAGACGACAGGCUGAAGAAAGCCACACGAACGCUGACAGCCUCUGACACGAACCGCAGGAGCUGGACAGAGCGAUGCGCGCAUGGUGCUGAUGUUAAUGAUGAGAAAGAAGAGAGGAACUACAGUAAUGCCAGAGUUAUGGACGGGACCCCACAUCUCUGUAAACACACACACACACACACACACACACAGUCAAUAUGAAAUGCAGCUCUUUUCUUAUUUGAUCGUUUUAUAUUUGAUGAGUUUUUUUUAUGGAUUAUUGGCUCCUGGGCUGUUUUUGUGAAGAAAUUUGUUCCUAUUUAAGAUGUUAAUUCAUCUGAACUUUAUACUGAAUAGCCAGUUAGAGAAUAUCUGUAUUUACUUAUUUUGGACCCGUUGCCAUUAGCAGGAGUAACGGCAGCAUGUCUUUGUAAAAGUAUCUGAUUUUACCAAUCCUACCUCUCUGUGCAACACUGGGAAUGAGGAUCAUUUGAUCAGAAACCAGCUGGACAUAAUACUUAAUUACUCUAAACACUGACAGGUUUUAACUGGUUUCUAGGCCUUCAGUUGUUUUUAUUUUUCCUUCUUGUGUUCAACACUUAUUCCUUGUUGCACUUAGGUCUGUCGCCACAAGCAACGAAUAAAUUAAUUGCGUAAUAAAUUGAAACAAGUUUGUUUUUCUCAUUUCUCUCUUUCUAUCAAAAACUGAAUUAUAAAAG